rnacentral:rRNA from 1 species
CAUGGAGGGUGAGAAUCCCGUCCGGCUGACCUUCAGGACGUUUUACGAUACGCUCUCAAAGAGUCGAGUUGUUUGGGAUUGCAGCUCAAAAUGGGAGGUAAAUUUCUCCUAAGGCUAAAUACCGGCGAGAGACCGAUAGCGAACAAGUACCGUGAGGGAAAGAUGAAAAGAAUUUUGAAAAGAAAGUCAAACAGUACGUGAAAUUGUUGAAAGGGAAACGAUUGAAGCCAGUCGUACCGACGGGGGAAUUCAACUUCUCGAGUGCUAAUCGUGGGUGACGUUGAGCCUCACGGCCUUCGUUGCUUGUGUUGUUGGUGCUUUUGGGGUGUACUUUUCCGUAUUGGUAGGUCAGCAUCGAUUUCGAUCGUCAUAAAAUGAUCGGGGGAAUGUAGCUUCGGUCUCGUAUCGGAGUGUUAUAGACCUUGGUAGAUGUGACGAUUGGGAUCGAGGAUUGCAACGAAUACCUUCUGGGCUAUCCGUCUGACCUCUGAAAGUCGCUCGGGUGUCGAAAGCGUGCUUAUGGCUAUUCGAGUUGGCGGUCAAUAGGCUAGAACGUGAUUACAUUCGUUAAGGAUGUUGACGUA